rnacentral:lncRNA from 1 species
GCUCUCCAUUCCUACUCCACUGACCCUCUUAUCACACCAAUCUCUCAUGUGCCUCCCUCACUCAAAGAUGUUUGGUGACUCCCUGGGCUCAAAUGAUCUCCCUCAUUAGAUCUUUCUCAAUUUUCCGUGCUGUCAUCCACUUCAUCCCCCAUUUAUCCAGAGCUCCUAACAGUUUUUUUUUUUUUGCCUUUUAAUAUAGAAAUUGAUGUAAAACGUCCUUAUUCUCUGGUAUAAUUUAAGCUCAUUGAGGACAGAGACUAUAUUUAUAUUUUCCCCCAGAAUGUAGCACUUCUCCUUGCAUAUGGAAAAUGAAUGUUGGUUGAAUGAAUAUUUUAAGUAUCCUGUACCUCAAAGAUUGAUCCUAAUAAUAUAUUUUACAUCCAAAUAAAUUGACUUUUUUUGGGGAGAGCACAAUGGUAGUUAAUAAGACACCGUUCAGGUUUAAACACUUAUCCUUUUCGGGGGGUGGGGGGGUGGGGGUAGGGGGGAGUCAGUGCUCCACAGCAGUUGCUAGGUUACAGGCCACAGCAACAAAAAGAAGUCACAGGAAGAUGUUACCACAAGGUGGCAGAAUGACAUUGCUCUUCAAUAUAGGUUUUUUCAGAAGGAAUUCUCUUUGGAAGUGUUGUUAGCUUACCCGUUAAGCUACCUUAGAGGCUGACAUGUCCCUAGAAGAGAGUGCAGUAGGAGCUGAGGGGUCCUCCUCACCCCUUCCCACUGAGCCCUGACUUUUGCAGAGGGCAUCAGAGAAGGGGAGGGCCCAUGUCCUGAGCUCACUGCGCUGGGAGGGAUUAGGGCUCAGUGGGUCUGUCUCCUGCUCAGCCCUGCCCAGACGCAGCCACCACAGCUUCAGCACUUGGCGGGGAGGGGUAGUCAGGGUGCUAAGGAAGCUUCUGCUGGCAACUUCCCUCCUGCGCCAGGUCCUUCCACAGACCUCAGAGGGCCAAGCAGAAGCUGACAUGUGAUGAUGUGAACAAUGGGUACCCCGUAUGCCCCUGUGUGUGUAAGCAGCCCAUGUUCAGUCAUCCAGGGUGCCCACAUCACUAGUGCCCUGGACCGAGCAGAAGGCAGACAGCAAAGGAGUGUGAAAACGAAGUUUCUGCCCUGGCUAGGCAACAGUGGGGCUGGGCUUCGUGUCCAAGCAGUCUUCAGGCUCAUGCCUCCCAUUUCAGUGCCCACUGCCUCCCCUGAACGGGGUGUGAGGAAACAAAGGAGGGCUUGGUCUGUAGGGAACUGAGGUCACAUGAUCUGAGACUCAACUGCAAGUUGUGUGGAUCAUCCUCCGAAGGCCAAUCCAGACAUCUGAGCAACCCUAGCAAGGAUGAGACCCAGACCCUUCACCCCAUCUGUGCCUGACAUAAACUACAGUUACUCUGAGGAGAGGAACCAACCAAAUGGAUUGCUUUCUACCCUCCAGGGAAUCCAUGACUCAAAGUAAAAAUUAAAUUCAGUACCAGAAAAGUAAAGAAGAAAAUCAUUUCUUAGGUCUCUCACUUAGUAGGCUGAGGAAAAGGAAGAAAGCAAACACUAUUUGAAUAUCUACUCUAGCCCAGGUAUACCGAGCCUCCCCACAGCAGCAAGGGUUAAUAAUUCCCCCUCCAUGUUAACUGAGCACCACCAGGAGCAGAGGUCGAGGCGCAUGUGGAGCCAGAAUCCAAACCUAGAUCUGUCCAGUGGAAAAACA